rnacentral:rRNA from 1 species
GUGGGGAAUCUUAGACAAUGGGGGCAACCCUGAUCUAGCCAUGCCGCGUGAUCGAUGAAGGCCUUAGGGUUGUAAAGAUCUUUCAGCUGGGAAGAUAAUGACGGUACCAGCAGAAGAAGCCCCGGCUACUCCGGGCCAGCAGCCGCGGUAAUACGGAGGGGGCUAGCGUUGUUCGGAAUUACUGGGCGUAAAGCGCACGUAGGCGGAUUGGAAAGUUGGGGGUGAAAUCCCGGGGCUCAACCCCGGAAAUGCCUUCAAAACUCCCAGUCUUGAGGUCGAGAGAGGUGAGUGGAAUUCCGAGUGUAGAGGUGAAAUUCGUAGAUAUUCGGAGGAACACCAGUGGCGAAGGCGGCUCACUGGCUCGAUACUGACGCUGAGGUGCGAAAGCGUGGGGAGCAAACAGGAUUAGAUACCCGAGUAGUCC